rnacentral:rRNA from 1 species
UACGAAGGUGGCAAGCGUUACUCGGAAUUACUAGGCGUAAAGGGCAGGUAGGUGGUUUGGUAAGUCUGUUGUGAAAGCUCCCGGCUUAACUGGGAGAGGCCAACGGAUACUGCCAGGCUUGAGUAUAGGAGAGGUUACUGGAAUUCCCGGUGUAGCGGUGAAAUGCGCAGAGAUCGGGAGGAACACCAAUGGCGAAAGCAGGUAACUGGACUAUUACUGACACUCAACUGCGAAAGCUAGGGGAGCAAACAGGG